CUUCUUCCCCCAAGCAGGGCCAUUCUGUUACAAACAGCCAAGACAUAGCUCUAUGGUCUAUGUCUCAUAGACCCUCCCACAGCCAGCUCUGUCACUCUGCUCCAUACACCAAAGGCGCUGUGUAGGAAGAGAGGUCUCUCCCAUGACUGCAGGGUCUGCCUGGGCAGGCUGCUGCAAACAUGAGGCAAAAGAAAUUUGGCAUCCCGCAGUGUGUCUGCUGGAGGGCUGAAGAUACCUCCGUGAAGAUGGGAACCUGCUCCCUCACAAACAGAGUUUCUUUCCAGAGUGCUCAAGUCUUGCUAAAGGGAGAUGGUGAUCUCUGUGGAAGCAGCAGGAGGAGGAGGUCCUCCCUGGCUAUGGGCUCUAUCCUGAGUGGGAAGCUCCUGAAGACCUUCCUUGGGAGGAAAGGCAAAUAUCCCCCCUGCCUAAAGCUUACAAGGAGUAUGUAUUUUCCCUGGGGUGCUGCAGACCAGAGGUGGAAACCUGCAGCUAAGCACAAAGAGAGAAAUGGCAAGAAAUCACUUCACCGCUGCAAGCUUCCGAGCUCUUCUUUCUUAAGUAGGCGAAAAAGGAAACUUCUAAACUGCCUGUCACAUCCUCUCACUGGUAACAACCAUCACCUGGAAAGGGGACAGCGCUGAGCUCAUCUCUGGAAUGAAACAAUAGAGGAAAAGCACUGCGGAAUGCGCUCGUUCAACACCGCCGCUGAGCAGGAGACGGAUUUUAUGUAUCAAAGGAAAUUCUGCUAUUUUUAAACUGUUUUUCCAUGAGUAAGUGUCAAAAAUGAAGCCUUUGAAAUGUCUCGUGAUAACUUGGGGGGGGGGGAGGGGGCUAUCAGUCUAUCAAAGGGCUUCGUUUUCUUGUAUUAUUAUUCUGAAUUCCAUUAUCUGUUCUGCUCCCCAGUACCUGCUCCAAGAGCACAUCUGUGCACCCACAGAAAGCGUAUGCAUGAGCAGACUCAAGGGGGUGGUUAGCUGCUGGCUGACCUGGCUGUAAAGCACCCAGAGCACAAGCACAGCCCAUCCGACCCUCCCUGCUCAAUGCAUGGUGGGUGGGGAUGGCGGCAGGCAGCCCUGAGCACAUCCCGCUGCUGGAGAGCCAGCAGGGCAGUGUUUCUGGAACAGCCUGAUGACAGCCACGUUGAACGUCAUCUCUGCCAUUCUGGUCAUGCC
ensembl:lncRNA